rnacentral:piRNA from 1 species
UACAGUUUUUUGGUAAAAAUAAAAGCCU